AUUCACUGCCACCUAAAAUCUACUGCCACCUUAAAUUCACUGCCACCUAAAAUCUACUGCCACCUUAAAUUCACUGAUACUUUAAAAUCCACUCCCAAUAUAAAUCCACUGCUACGAGAAACUCACUUUUACCUGAAACCUUCUCACACGUUAAAUCUACUGCCGCCUUGUAGUUACUGGUUCAUUAAAUUGCUCCCACUGCUACUGAGUGCUGAUUGGUCAGUAUUACUGCUACUGAGCGCUGAUUGGUCAGUAUUACUGCUACUGAGCGCUGAUUGGUCAGUAUUACGGCUACUGAGCGCUGAUUGGUCAGUAUUACGGCUACUGAGCGCUGAUUGGUCAGUAUUACGGCUACUGAGCGCUGAUUGGUCAGUAUUACGGCUACUGAGCGCUGAUUGGUCAGUAUUACUGCUACUGAGAGCUGAUUGGUCAGUAUUACUGCUACUGAGAGCUGAUUGGUCAGUAUUACUGCUACUGAGAGCUGAUUGGUCAGUAUUACUGCUACUGAGCGCUGAUUGGUCAGUAUUACUGCUACUGAGCCCUGAUUGGUCAGUAUUACUGCUACUGAGCGCUGAUUGGUCAGUAUUACUGCUACUGAGCGCUGAUUGGUCAGUAUUACUGCUACUGAGCGCUGAUUGGUCAGUAUUACUGCUACUGAGCGCUGAUUGGUCAGUAUUACUGCUACUGAGCGCUGAUUGGUCAGUAUUACGGCUACUGAGCGCUGAUUGGUCAAUAUUACUGCUACUGAGCGCUGAUUGGUCAGUAUUACUGCUACUGAGCGCUGAUUGGUCAAUAUUACUGCUACUGAGUGCUGAUUGGUCAGUAUUACUGCUACUGAGCGCUGAUUGGUCAGUAUUACUGCUACUGAGUGCUGAUUGGUCAAUAUUACUGCUACUGAGCGCUGAUUGGUCAAUAUUACUGCUACUGAGUGCUGAUUGGUCAGUAUUACUGCUACUGAGUGCUGAUUGGUCAGUAUUACUGCUACUGAGCGCUGAUUGGUCAGUAUUACUGCUACUGAGCGCUGAUUGGUCAGUAUUACUGCUACUGAGCGCUGAUUGGUCAGUAUUACUGCUACUGAGCGCUGAUUGGUCAGUAUUACGGCUACUGAGCGCUGAUUGGUCAAUAUUACUGCUACUGAGCGCUGAUUGGUCAGUAUUACUGCUACUGAGCGCUGAUUGGUCAAUAUUACUGCUACUGAGUGCUGAUUGGUCAGUAUUACUGCUACUGAGCGCUGAUUGGUCAGUAUUACUGCUACUGAGUGCUGAUUGGUCAAUAUUACUGCUACUGAGCACUGAUUGGUCAAUAUUACUGCUACUGAGUGCUGAUUGGUCAGUAUUACUGCUACUGAGUGCUGAUUGGUCAGUAUUACUGCUACUGAGCGCUGAUUGGUCAGUAUUACUGCUACUGAGCGCUGAUUGGUCAGUAUUACUGCUACUGAGAGCUGAUUGGUCAGUAUUACUGCUACUGAGAGCUGAUUGGUCAGUUUUACGGCUACUGAGCGCUGAUUGGUCAGUAUUAGAGCUGAAAGCGGCGCUGUCUCGUGUCCGCGCUCGCCGUUGUUUUUGUCAGCGCUUAGCGAAGUCGCUGUAG
ensembl:lncRNA